rnacentral:snRNA from 1 species
ACUCUGGUUUCUCUUCAGAUCAUAUAAAUC